UAUGAAGUUGGACAGUAAAGUGGGUUUGUAUUUGAAAAUCAGCCAUGAUUAUUUGGGAAAAAUGGAGCUGCCUUGAGGCUCCCAUUUCUUGUUUCUUGUUUCUAAUAAUCGUCAGUGAGAAGACUUUCCUCCUUCCUUGGCUCUUUCAGUGAGAACUCUCUGUCUCCAACCACUUUGAAAUGUUUAUAAGCUGCAAGUGGUGAAGCGUUGAUAAAAGGAAAAUUAUGGAAGUUCCCAGAUUCUGCUGAGCGUUUUCUGUUUUUAAUUGCAAUUUGGCAGAGUCCAGAAAAGAUUUCAACUGAAAUACUUGGAAGAACUUUUGAAUACUAGACGUAUUUUCUCCAUUGUUUCCAUUCCAUUGUUCUGCAACAUUGCGCUGAGAGUCGACAAAUUGGCCAUUCAUAUUCUCCUACCAUUGACAAUCCUCCGGCCAAGGGUGAAGAGAUGUUGGACAUUGCUUCUGUAUUGCUGCAGUCAUAACACAGGAAGGCUGAGGUCAAUGCAAUCUUUACUGUCCCACUGACUGAGAUCACUUGAUGUCCUUGAGAAGGUGGUAGUGAGCUAUCUUCUUGAAUCUCUGCAGUCCAUUUGCUGUGGUAGACCCAAAGUUGUGGAGAGUUCUGAAGAAGUCAUAUUGAAGUUGAAACUUUAACUGUUGUUUCUCACUCUACAGGUGCUGGUGGACCUGCUGAAUUUCUCCAGCACUUUCUGCAUUUUAUUUCAGAAAGCAAUGCUGGAUGAACUUCCUCAAGUAGGUGGCAGAUGCUGUGGGGUAAGGAAGGUAGAGAGUGAUGUCCGUGGGCUUUCAGAAUAUCUUUGAUAGAGGGGACUAUUAAAGAAAAUUUAAGAUAGUGAAAUUGGCAGUUGUAAUUUAAAACAAUGAUGCUAGAAGACAUAAUGACGCUGAAAGAUGCAAAAAGGCAACCUCCCGUUAUUGAGGGAUCCAGAAAAAGGGAACAUGGGUAAAAGGAUAACCCAAAGAGAUUUACAAUAGAAAGCACAAGGAAUUAUCCUCACAGGGAGUGACUACCAGGUUAAUGAUAGAAGCAGAGGCUGUUGUCGGCAUUUAAGACUAGAUCAGGCAGAAGGUUGAAGGACAGAAACAUUUAGCAAAAACGAGAGCCAAAAGAUUGCCAGCUGGAGGACUGAACAGAAUGGGCCUAAUGACCGAUUUGUUUGUUGUGGUUUUUAGUUAAAUAGAUCUGAGUGCAUCUUCCAUCAUGUCACUGUGCUGAAGUGCCGAGUGAGGUCCAGACCAGUGUGAGGUGCCAUGAUGUAUUUAACUUAAUGAAGAUACAGCAGCUGCAGUAUAUAUCACACAAAUAGCUAAGCAGGGAAAGUCCAGAUGUGAGAUGUCAAUCUUUAGAAUGAUUAAAAAUAACUAUAACAGAUGUAUGUUAAGUACAAUUCUUUUUGGAAUGAUUUGUAAAACAAGUAUUCCUCCCAUCAGACUUCCCUCCUUCUUUAAAUAAUUAAGCUUCAUUCAUAUCAAUUAUUAGACAUUACCCGUCUGCUCCAUCAUAUUCACUGUUAAUAUGACAAUAAAAGAUAAUCUUAAAAAUA